UACGUAGGUGGCAAGCGUUGUCCGGAAUUAUUGGGCGUAAAGCGCGCGCAGGCGGUCCUUUAAGUCUGAUGUGAAAGCCCACGGUUCAACCGUGGAGGGUCAUUGGAAACUGGGGGACUUGAGUGCAGAAGAGGAAAGCGGAAUUCCACGUGUAGCGGUGAAAUGCGUAGAGAUGUGGAGGAACACCAGUGGCGAAGGCGGCUUUCUGGUCUGUAACUGACGCUGAGGCGCGAAAGCGUGGGGAGCAAACAGG
rnacentral:rRNA from 1 species